GACGAACGCUAGCGGCGUGCCUAAUACAUGCAAGUAGAACGCACAGUUUAUACCGUAGCUUGCUACACCAUAGACUGUGAGUUGCGAACGGGUGAGUAACGCGUAGGUAACCUGCCUGGUAGCGGGGGAUAACUAUUGGAAACGAUAGCUAAUACCGCAUAAUAUUAAUUAUUGCAUGAUAAUUAAUUGAAAGGUGCAAUUGCACCACUACCAGAUGGACCUGCGUUGUAUUAGCUAGUAGGUGAGGUAACGGCUCACCUAGGCGACGAUACAUAGCCGACCUGAGAGGGUGAUCGGCCACACUGGGACUGAGACACGGCCCAGACUCCUACGGGAGGCAGCAGUAGGGAAUCUUCGGCAAUGGACGAAAGUCUGACCGAGCAACGCCGCGUGAGUGAAGAAGGUUUUCGGAUCGUAAAGCUCUGUUGUAAGAGAAGAACGGGUGUGAGAGUGGAAAGUUCACACUGUGACGGUAUCUUACCAGAAAGGGACGGCUAACUACGUG
rnacentral:rRNA from 1 species